rnacentral:rRNA from 1 species
AGUCGAGCGGGCGUAGCAAUACGUCAGCGGCAGACGGGUGAGUAACGCGUGGGAACGUACCUUUUGGUUCGGAACAACACAGGGAAACUUGUGCUAAUACCGGAUAAGCCCUUACGGGGAAAGAUUUAUCGCCGAAAGAUCGGCCCGCGUCUGAUUAGCUAGUUGGUAGGGUAAUGGCCUACCAAGGCGACGAUCAGUAGCUGGUCUGAGAGGAUGAUCAGCCACAUUGGGACUGAGACACGGCCCAAACUCCUACGGGAGGCAGCAGUGGGGAAUAUUGGACAAUGGGGGCAACCCUGAUCCAGCCAUGCCGCGUGAGUGAUGAAGGCCCUAGGGUUGUAAAGCUCUUUUGUGCGGGAAGAUAAUGACGGUACCGCAAGAAUAAGCCCCGGCUAACUUCGUGCCAGCAGCCGCGGUAAUACGAAGGGGGCUAGCGUUGCUCGGAAUCACUGGGCGUAAAGGGUGCGUAGGCGGGUCUUUAAGUCAGGGGUGAAAUCCUGGAGCUCAACUCCAGAACUGCCUUUGAUACUGAAGAUCUUGAGUUCGGGAGAGGUGAGUGG